rnacentral:rRNA from 1 species
GUCGAACGGUCUACCUCGACAGAAACCUUCGGGUUGAAGUUGAGACUAGAUAGUGGCGGACGGGUGAGUAACACGUGAAUAAUCUGUCCUCAAGUCUGGGAUAACCUGGCGAAAGUCGGGCUAACCCCGGAUAAGCUGAGAGUGUGGCAUCACACAAUCAGAAAAGGUGGUUUUCCAUCGUUUGAGGAGGAGUUCGCGGUAGAUUAGCUAGCUGGUGAGGUAAUGGCUCACCAGGGCGACAAUCUAUAGCUGGUCUGAGAGGACGAUCAGUCACACUGGAACUGAGACACGGUCCAGACUCCUACGGGAGGCAGCAGUGGGGAAUCUUCCACAAUGGGUGCAAACCUGAUGGAGCAACGCCGCGUGAGUGAAGACGGUCUUCGGAUUGUAAAGCUCUGUCCUUAGGGAAGAACCGUGGAUGUAGUUAAUGACAUCCAUCUGACGGUACCUUUGGAGGAAGCACUGGCUAACUACGUGCCAGCAGCCGCGGUAAUACGUAGAGUGCAAGCGUUGUCCGGAAUUAUUGGGCGUAAAGGGUACGCAGGCGGAUAAUCAAGUCAAGCGUGAAAGGUGUCGGCUCAACCGACAGACUGCGUUUGAAACUGAUUAUCUUGAGUGUAACAGAGGAGAGUGGAAUUCCUAGUGUAGUGGUGAAAUACGUAGAUAUUAGGAAGAACACCAGUGGCGAAGGCGACUCUCUGGGUUAACACUGACGCUGAGAUACGAAAGCUGAGGGAGCGAACGGGAUUAGAUACCCCGGUAGUCCCAGCCGUAAACGCUGGAUACUAGGUGUUGGAGGUUCGAAUCCUUCAGUGCCGGAGUUAACGCAUUAAGUAUCCCGCCUGGGGAAUACGAUCGC